rnacentral:rRNA from 1 species
GGGUUGUGAGGUUAAGCGACUAAGCGUACACGGUGGAUGCCCUGGCAGUCAGAGGCGAUGAAGGGCGUGCUAAUCUGCGAUAAGCGCCGGUAAGGUGAUAUGAACCGUUAUAACCGGCGAUACCCGAAUGGGGAAACCCAGUGUGACUCGUCACACUAUCAUUAACUGAAUCCAUAGGUUAAUGAGGCGAACCGGGGGAACUGAAACAUCUAAGUACCCCGAGGAAAAGAAAUCAACCGAGAUUCCCCCAGUAGCGGCGAGCGAACGGGGAGGAGCCCAGAGCCUGAAUCAGCAUGUGUGUUAGUGGAAGCGUCUGGAAAGGCGCGCGAUACAGGGUGACAGCCCCGUACACAAAAGCGCAUGUGCUGUGAGCUCGAUGAGUAGGGCGGGACACGUGGUAUCCUGUCUGAAUAUGGGGGGACCAUCCUCCAAGGCUAAAUACUCCUGACUGACCGAUAGUGAACCAGUACCGUGAGGGAAAGGCGAAAAGAACCCCGGCGAGGGGAGUGAAAAAGAACCUGAAACCGUGUACGUACAAGCAGUGGGAGCCCCACCACCAAAGCAUUCUCUGGUGUUGAAGGCCCUGCAAAGCAGCAUCGCGGUGGCGGAGCGUCGUUUGCGACGCCCAACACACAAAACAAGCGGUGAGUGCUUUGGGGUGGGGUGACUGCGUACCUUUUGUAUAAUGGGUCAGCGACUUAUAUUCUGUAGCAAGGUUAACCGAAUAGGGGAGCCGGAGGGAAACCGAGUCUUAAUUGGGCGUUAAGUUGCAGGGUAUAGACCCGAAACCCGGUGAUCUAGCCAUGGGCAGGUUGAAGGUUGGGUAACACUAACUGGAGGACCGAACCGACUAAUGUUGAAAAAUUAGCGGAUGACCUGUGGCUGGGGGUGAAAGGCCAAUCAAACCGGGAGAUAGCUGGUUCUCCCCGAAAGCUAUUUAGGUAGCGCCUCGUGAAUUCAUCUCCGGGGGUAGAGCACUGUUUCGGCUAGGGGGCCAUCCCGGCUUACCAACCCGAUGCAAACUGCGAAUACCGGAGAAUGUUAUCACGGGAGACACACGGCGGGUGCUAACGUCCGUCGUGAAGAGGGAAACAACCCAGACCGCCAGCUAAGGUCCCAAAGUCAUGGUUAAGUGGGAAACGAUGUGGGAAGGCCCAGACAGCCAGGAUGUUGGCUUAGAAGCAGCCAUCAUUUAAAGAAAGCGUAAUAGCUCACUGGUCGAGUCGGCCUGCGCGGAAGAUGUAACGGGGCUAAACCAUGCACCGAAGCUGCGGCAGCGACACUCAGGUGUUGUUGGGUAGGGGAGCGUUCUGUAAGCCUGCGAAGGUGGCCUGUGAGGGUUGCUGGAGGUAUCAGAAGUGCGAAUGCUGACAUAAGUAACGAUAAAGCGGGUGAAAAGCCCGCUCGCCGGAAGACCAAGGGUUCCUGUCCAACGUUAAUCGGGGCAGGGUGAGUCGACCCCUAAGGCGAGGCCGAAAGGCGUAGUCGAUGGGAAACGGGUUAAUAUUCCCGUACUUGGUGUUACUGCGAAGGGGGGACGGAGAAGGCUAUGUUGGCCGGGCGACGGUUGUCCCGGUUUAAGCGUGUAGGUGUGUGUUCCAGGUAAAUCCGGUUCACUUUAACACUGAGGCGUGAUGACGAGGCACUACGGUGCUGAAGCAACAAAUGCCCUGCUUCCAGGAAAAGCCUCUAAGCAUCAGGUAACAUCAAAUCGUACCCCAAACCGACACAGGUGGUCAGGUAGAGAAUACCAAGGCGCUUGAGAGAACUCGGGUGAAGGAACUAGGCAAAAUGGUGCCGUAACUUCGGGAGAAGGCACGCUGACACGUAGGUGAAGUGAUUUACUCAUGGAGCUGAAGUCAGUCGAAGAUACCAGCUGGCUGCAACUGUUUAUUAAAAACACAGCACUGUGCAAACACGAAAGUGGACGUAUACGGUGUGACGCCUGCCCGGUGCCGGAAGGUUAAUUGAUGGGGUCAGCGCAAGCGAAGCUCCUGAUCGAAGCCCCGGUAAACGGCGGCCGUAACUAUAACGGUCCUAAGGUAGCGAAAUUCCUUGUCGGGUAAGUUCCGACCUGCACGAAUGGCGUAAUGAUGGCCAGGCUGUCUCCACCCGAGACUCAGUGAAAUUGAACUCGCUGUGAAGAUGCAGUGUACCCGCGGCAAGACGGAAAGACCCCGUGAACCUUUACUAUAGCUUGACACUGAACAUUGAGCCUUGAUGUGUAGGAUAGGUGGGAGGCUUUGAAGUGUGGACGCCAGUCUGCAUGGAGCCGACCUUGAAAUACCACCCUUUAAUGUUUGAUGUUCUAACGUGGACCCGUAAUCCGGGUUGCGGACAGUGUCUGGUGGGUAGUUUGACUGGGGCGGUCUCCUCCUAAAGAGUAACGGAGGAGCACGAAGGUUGGCUAAUCCUGGUCGGACAUCAGGAGGUUAGUGCAAUGGCAUAAGCCAGCUUGACUGCGAGCGUGACGGCGCGAGCAGGUGCGAAAGCAGGUCAUAGUGAUCCGGUGGUUCUGAAUGGAAGGGCCAUCGCUCAACGGAUAAAAGGUACUCCGGGGAUAACAGGCUGAUACCGCCCAAGAGUUCAUAUCGACGGCGGUGUUUGGCACCUCGAUGUCGGCUCAUCACAUCCUGGGGCUGAAGUAGGUCCCAAGGGUAUGGCUGUUCGCCAUUUAAAGUGGUACGCGAGCUGGGUUUAGAACGUCGUGAGACAGUUCGGUCCCUAUCUGCCGUGGGCGCUGGAGAACUGAGGGGGGCUGCUCCUAGUACGAGAGGACCGGAGUGGACGCAUCACUGGUGUUCGGGUUGUCAUGCCAAUGGCACUGCCCGGUAGCUAAAUGCGGAAGAGAUAAGUGCUGAAAGCAUCUAAGCACGAAACUUGCCCCGAGAUGAGUUCUCCCUGAGACUUUAAGUCUCCUGAAGGAACGUUGAAGACGACGACGUUGAUAGGCCGGGUGUGUAAGCGCAGCGAUGCGUUGAGCUAACCGGUACUAAUGAACCGUGAGGCUUAACCUUACAACGCCGAAG